GGGUAGAUGGCUAAGUGAAAGCACUUGCUAUGCAAGCAUGAGAGCUGGGGUUCAAAUCCCCAGUCCCCA
rnacentral:tRNA from 1 species